GGGGCUGUUUUUUGGGCGCGCCUGUGCCCGUGGCCUAUUUUUGGCACACGGAGGCCGCCCGCCAAGUCUGGUGCCAUUCCGAGUCCCGCGGACGAACUUCGCCCACGCCCCCCACCAAGGCUAUAGCCCACCCGUUUUUUGGCCAUUUUUCCGCUGAGUCUGGUAAUUACGCUGUUGAGCUGAUAGCGAAAAAGGAAUUCCAAUAGUGCCUAAUUUAUUUCUCGACAUAGAAGUUUUGCUAGCGAUGGAG
rnacentral:lncRNA from 1 species